rnacentral:rRNA from 1 species
UGUAAACGAUGUCGAUUUGGAGUUUGGGGGCAUGACCCUUGGGCUCCGGAGCUAACGCGUUAAAUCGACCGCUGGGGAGUACGGCCGCAAGGUUAAAACUCAAAUGAAUUGACGGGGGCCCGCACAAGCGGUGGAGCAUGUGGUUUAAUUCGAUGCAACGCGAAGAACCUUACCUGGUCUUGACAUCCAUAGAAUCUUUCAGAGAUGAGGGAGUGCCUUCGGGAGCUAUGAGACAGGUGCUGCAUGGCUGUCGUCAGCUCGUGUUGUGAAAUGUUGGGUUAAGUCCCGCAACGAGCGCAACCCCUAUCCUUUGUUGCCAGCACGUAAUGGUGGGAACUCAAAGGAGACUGCCGUUGAUAAAGCGGAGGAAGGUGGGGACGACGUCAAGUCAUCAUGGCCCUUACGACCAGGGCUACACACGUGCUACAAUGGCGUAUACAAAGGGAUGCGAAGGUGCGAACUGGAGCGGACCUCACAAAGUACGUCUAAGUCCGGAUUGGAGUCUGCAACUCGACUCCAUGAAGUCGGAAUCGCUAGUAAUCGUGAAUCAGAAUGUCACGGUGAAUACGUUCCCGGGCCUUGUACACACCGCCCGUCACACCAUGGGAGUGGGUUGCACCAGAAGUAGAUAGCUUAACCUUCGGGAGGGCGUUUACCACGGUGUGGUUCAUGACUGGGGUGAAGUCGUAACAAGGUAACCA